rnacentral:rRNA from 1 species
AAUAUUUCACAAUGGGCGCAAGCCUGAUGCAGCAACUCCGCGUGAGGGACGACGGCCUUCGGGUUGUAAACCUCUCUUAGUAGGGAAGAAGCGAAAGUGACGGUACCUGCAGAUAAAUCACCGGCCAACUACGUGUCAGCAGCCGCGGUAAUACGUAGGGUGCAAGCGGUGUCCGGAAUUAUUGGGCGUAAAGUGCUUGUAGGCGGCUUGUCGCAUCUGAUGUGAAAACCCGAGGCUCCAACUCGGGCCUGAAGUGGGUACGGGCAGAAUAGAGUGCGGUAGGGGAGUUUGGAAUUCCUAGUGUAGCGGUGGAAUGCGCAGAUAUCAGGAGGAACACCAAUGGCGAAGGAAGAUCACUGGGCCGUAACUGACGCUGAGGAGCGAAAGCAUGGGGAGCGAAC